AUCAGUUUAACUUUUUCCAGCUCCAGCUCACUCAAUCUGGCCUCCGUUUCACGGAUUCUGUCUUCUUUCUUGUCCAUCGCAAUCUACGUGCAGCCUGACACCUUCAGAUCUGACAUCUCCAAGGCCUUCAAGAUUGAGUGCUGAGUGGACAAAAUUUUUUCCUAAACUUUUGUCUACCUCUCCUGCUCGCCUCUUGCCUUAGGUGGUGGGGGUGGUGAAGCAUGUAUGGUAAAGGCUGACUCACAGAGACGUAAACAUGAUGAAAUGUACAGACCUUAAGCUCUUGUACUUCCAGUUUCCUGUCACUGAUUUCUUUCACAAGCUGAGAUUUCUCCACCUCCAUUGCACCAGCAGUUCGUCCAU